AACUGUUCAAGCUGAUGCAGCAGUUGGAGAGUACAACCCCACAUUUUAUUCGAUGCAUUCAACCAAAUAGCAAACAACUUCCCAGGUUAUUCGAGCAUGAUCUUAUCUUGCACCAGCUUAAAUGCUGUGGGGUGCUUGAAGUUGUCCGGAUAUCAAGAACAUGCUAUCCAACUAGGAUCACUCACCAACAGUUUGCUGAAAGAUAUGGGUUUCUUCUCUUGCGUUCGAUUGCAUCUCAAGACCCACUUAGUGUUUCAAUUGCUGUUUUGCAACAGUUGAACAUCCCCCCUGAAAUGUAUCAAGUUGGCUACACAAAAUUGUUUUUCCGUACAGGACAGGUUGCUGCACUGGAAAAUGCUAAAAUACAGAUGCUUCAUGGAACCCUCCGUAUUCAGAAACACUUCCGGGGUAUGCAUUCUCGUUAGGGAUAUCAACGACUCAAGAAAGCAGCAAUGAAUUUGCAAUCAUUUAUACGUGGUGAAAGAGCAAGAAUACACUUUGAUAAUCUUGUCAAGAGAUGGAGGGCAGCUGUUCUAAUACAGAAGUACACUAGGCGUCGACUUGCAGCUAACAUGUUUAAUGAUCAACUAAAUCAUAUCAUUCUUCUUC